rnacentral:rRNA from 1 species
UACAGAGGGGGCAAGCGUUGUUCGGAAUUACUGGGCGUAAAGGGCGCGUAGGCGGCCGCCUAAGUCAGACGUGAAAUCCCUCGGCUCAACCGGGGAACUGCGUCUGAUACUGGGUGGCUUGAAUCCGGGAGAGGGAUGCGGAAUUCCAGGUGUAGCGGUGAAAUGCGUAGAUAUCUGGAGGAACACCGGUGGCGAAGGCGGCAUCCUGGACCGGUGUUGACGCUGAGGCGCGAAAGCCAGGGGAGCAAACGGG